CUUUUACAAUGAAGAGUUUGAUCCUGGCUCAGGAUGAACGCUAGCUACAGGCUUAACACAUGCAAGUCGAGGGGCAGCAUUUCAGUUUGCUUGCAAACUGGAGAUGGCGACCGGCGCACGGGUGAGUAACACGUAUCCAACCUGCCGAUAACUCGGGGAUAGCCUUUCGAAAGAAAGAUUAAUACCCGAUGGUAUAAUCAGACCGCAUGGUUUGAUUAUUAAAGAAUUUCGGUUAUCGAUGGGGAUGCGUUCCAUUAGGCAGUUGGUGAGGUAACGGCUCACCAAACCUUCGAUGGAUAGGGGUUCUGAGAGGAAGGUCCCCCACAUUGGAACUGAGACACGGUCCAAACUCCUACGGGGGCAGCAGUGAGGAAUAUUGGUCAAUGGGCGCAGGCCUGAACCAGCCAAGUAGCGUGAAGGAUGACUGCCCUAUGGGUUGUAAACUUCUUUUAUAUGGGAAUAAAGUUUUCCACGUGUGGAAUUUUAUGUACCAUAUGAAUAAGGAUCGGCUAACUCCGUGCCAGCAGCCGCGGUAAUACGGAGGAUCCGAGCGUUAUCCGGAUUUAUUGGGUUUAAAGGGAGCGUAGGUGGACAGUUAAGUCAGUUGUGAAAGUUUGCGGCUCAACCGUAAAAUUGCAGUUGAUACUGGCUGUCUUGAGUACAGUAGAGGUGGGCGGAAUUCGUGGUGUAGCGGUGAAAUGCUUAGAUAUCACGAAGAACUCCGAUUGCGAAGGCAGCUCACUGGACUGCAACUGACACUGAUGCUCGAAAGUGUGGGUAUCAAACAGGAUUAGAUACCCUGGUAGUCCACAGUAAACGAUGAAUACUCGCUGUUUGCGAUAUACAGUAAGCGGCCAAGCGAAAGCAUUAAGUAUUCCACCUGGGGAGUACGCCGGCAACGGUGAAACUCAAAGGAAUUGACGGGGGCCCGCACAAGCGGAGGAACAUGUGGUUUAAUUCGAUGAUACGCGAGGAACCUUACCCGGGCUUAAAUUGCAUUUGAAUAAUCUGGAAACAGGUUAGCCGCAAGGCAAAUGUGAAGGUGCUGCAUGGUUGUCGUCAGCUCGUGCCGUGAGGUGUCGGCUUAAGUGCCAUAACGAGCGCAACCCUUAUCUUUAGUUACUAACAGGUCAUGCUGAG
rnacentral:rRNA from 1 species